GGUGGUGGUGCAUGGCCGUUCUUAGUUGGUGGAGUGAUUUGUCUGGUUAAUUCCGUUAACGAACGAGACCCCCGCCUGCUAAAUAGUGGGGCCUACGCUUCCGCGUAGGCGCUCGCUUCUUAGAGGGACUCUCGGUGACUAACCGAGGGAAGUUGGGGGCAAUAACAGGUCUGUGAUGCCCUUCGAUGUCCUGGGCCGCACGCGCGCUACACUGAUGCAUGCAACGAGUCCACAACCUUGGUCGAGAGGCCCGGGUAACCUUUGGAACGUGCAUCGUGAUAGGGAUAGAUUAUUGCAAUUAUUAAUCUUGAACGAGGAAUGCCUAGUAAACGCGAGUCAUCAGCUCGCAUUGAUUACGUCCCUGCCCUUUGUACACACCGCCCGUCGCACCUACCGAUUGAAUGAUUCGGUGAAGAUUCCGGACAACGGCUCAGCCCCUUUAUUGUGGCCGUGCUGUCGGAAGUUAUCUAAACCUCAUCAUUUAGAGGAAGGUGAAGUCGUAACAAGGUUUCCGUAGGUGAAC
rnacentral:rRNA from 1 species